CUACUUCAACCUCCUCCGCCUGAUUCGUUCCCGGUCUCCGCGUCUCUCCCUUCCCCUGCCUCACCUCGCGCCGAAGAAACCCUAGCGGUGACGACGUCCCUCGCUCCUCUGCUCUCUUAUCCGUUUUUCUUGGGCGAUUCAUUGAUUUCCUUUCUGCUCGCUAUCGGUAGCUGCAUUCGCGGAUUUGGUCCAUCCAAUCGUUGCUGUUUAAUUCUACCUGGGCUUUCCCCCCAUGUACUGAUGGUGAUUUGUGUUGCAGUUCAUGUUUUUGUUCUCAUUUCUUUCCUCCCCUUCUUUUGCAUCGUAUUUUCAGGAUCGAGAAGUUAUUGAGCUAUUGAGGUGUUGAUUGCUUGUGGCGGACUCUAGAGAAUUUUGUUGGUGAUCUGGGGAACUGCUGGUCCGGUUAGGGCUGGCUUCAAUAAUCCAACCAUGGCUCCAGGAGAAGAAUACCGUGCUUUAAGUCAAAGGGGAGGACAAUGCUCUCAGUUCUCUACUAAGUUUCUGCUUGCCUCCCCUUCUUUCCACGGUGGUAGGGGUGCCCUACCUUCGGAUCUGACAUUCCUUUCGGGCGGUGGUGUCAAAGUUAGAUCCGGAUUUGCUUUUACAUUGAUCAUAGUUGGCGUAGUUAAGCAUUGGAGACUUAGAUAAGUAUGUUGUCAGCCAAACAGGUUGAAGGUGAGACGGCCACUCUGAAGCAGAUCAUGAGCUUCGAGCGGUCUAAAAGUCGUCAAUCGCCUCUAAUAGUUAAAAUAAUUGAAGUUGAUUUAUGGAGUUGUCACGAAAAUAGGAAUGCUAACUAAAAAAAUGCAGGCAUUAUCACAAAUAUAUAUCGGCUUGGUAUACUUGCAAAAGCUGAUGGCACUUGUGAGGACCUACAAUGCUCUGAGACAGAAGACAGAAUCUUCUGGACAUCAUCCUCCCCUCGCAGUGGGAGAAUCAUGCUUGGAAGGAUCAGUUUAAAUAUGAUGUUACCACUUGCCAAAUAAAGAUGGCUACUGGUGGAAAGCUCAUUACUGAAUUGAAUGAAAAUUGGUACUCAAAUAUCAUUGUCGAUGAGAACAACAUGUUCCAGUCUGUGAGCCCCAACAGAGCAAAUUAUGUGAAACCUCACAGAGAAGAUCUUUUUUAUGUGUGUCAUGUGGAGAAAGGAAGGGCUCUGAGCUUGUUCAUUCAACUGCUGCCUAAAGAUGGAAUUUCAGUUGUCACUAUUAUGACUGAGCUCUUAGAUGAGAAGGUUCUCGGAUCAAUGACAUGAAUUGUUGCUGAGGGAUAUGGAUGAAGGGAUGAUCAAAACUGUGGAAUCAUUUCCAACUAUAUGUUUCUGUAGCUGUUGGCAAACAAUAUUUUGAUUGGAUUAUGUUUCUUUUUUUACUUUGUUGAGGAAAUUGGGUUGAGAAGCCUUAAAGGACUAAGAGAUAAAUUGACAGGUAGCUUUUCUGUGAGUACCAGAACAAACAUGGUUCGGGUCCCAGCAGCUCAUGUUGCAUCACGAUCCAGUGCACGAGCCUGUCAAGACUUCAAAGUGCUGCUGCAUGGCUUGGCCCCACUCCUGAGAGAGAGAGAGAGAAAGGGCAGAGCAACAAUUGAACGCCAUCUGACUCCCCCUUCUCAAAGCCACAUCUCAACUCAGCACAUGAACACUCUUCAGAUGCACUAACUUCUACAGCUUGGAUGGGGAGCUCCAGUAGCCUCCCAACUCUUUUUAAAGGCUUGCUUCUGAGAAUCCAAAGUCACUCUCAGCCAAAUAUGAAAGGUGCAAUAGUUUUAAUACAUAAAAGCUGGGCUUCACACCAACCCAUGAGAAACUUUUGGAACAGGGAGGAAUCUGCAAAACCAAGAAACCAUGCCAUCUCACACAUCAACUGGCUUUGGAUCAAAGAUUUAGAAUCGGACUCAGCUCAGACCUGAUGGAAACGCGAACUCACAUAUUUGCUUUCCAAGUGAGAAGUACUCUCUCUCCGAUUCACAUGCCAAAUCUGCACCAAAGCCUAACAUAGCGGCAGAAUGCGGUCAAGAAAGAAUGGGUCAGAAUUCCUUCCACCUGCCGUGGCCCCAUCCCCUGAUUAAAGAUGGACCCACGACACACACUCCCUUGCUUUCUACAUCCACUUCCCACUACCCACCUUCGUUUCCUCUUCUUCUGCAUCUUUGAUGAGAAAUCGGGUGUGGUUUUAUCGGGAUCCACCUCCAUUUAUUUAUUAAUAAUAAAAU